rnacentral:rRNA from 1 species
AGGAAGUAAAAGUCGUAACAAGGUUUCCGUAGGUGAACCUGCGGAAGGAUCAUUACCGAGUUAGGGUCCCCCGAGGGCCCGACCUCCCAACCCUGUGUCUAUCCUACCUCAGCGUUGCUUCGGCGGACCGGACUCGACCACAACUGGUCUUGACCGCCGGGCCCCCGUGGCCGGGAGAGCCGUCCGCCGAUGGCCACAUCACACAAACUCUUGGAAAAUUGUGUCGUCUAAACUGAAAAUAUCAAUCAACACAAAACUUUCAACAACGGAUCUCUUGGUUCGGGCAUCGAUGAAGAACGCAGCGAAAUGCGAUAAGUAAUGCGAAUUGCAGAAUUUCCGUGAGUCAUCGAAUCUUUGAACGCACAUUGCGCCCAUUGGUAUUCCGAUGGGCAUGCCUGUUCGAGCGUCAUUAUCCUCCCUCAAACCCCCGGUUUGGUGUUGGACCGACGUUGUGGGGCUGUCCACAACGGGUCUCAAAGACAAUGACGGCGUCCGUGGGACCCUCUUCGCAACGAGCUUCUCGGAGCACGCGUGGAGUUUCAAGGACCUUCCGGGCCGGUCUUCCUUUUUGUACGCCUCCAAGGUUGACCUCGGAUCGGGUAGGAAUACCCGCUGAACUUAAGCAUAUCAAUAAGC